GCUAACCAUGCAAGUCGAACGCUCACCUUCGGGUGGGAGUGGCAGACGGGUGAGUAACACGUGGGAACGUACCCUUUGGUUCGGGACAACUCUGGGAAACUGGAGCUAAUACCGGAUACGCCCUUUUGGGGAAAGGUUUACUGCCGAAGGAUCGGCCCGCGUCUGAUUAGCUAGUUGGUGGGGUAACGGCCUACCAAGGCGACGAUCAGUAGCUGGUCUGAGAGGAUGAUCAGCCACACUGGGACUGAGACACGGCCCAGACUCCUACGGGAGGCAGCAGUGGGGAAUAUUGGACAAUGGGCGCAAGCCUGAUCCAGCCAUGCCGCGUGAGUGAUGAAGGCCUUAGGGUUGUAAAGCUCUCUUAUCCGGGACGAUAAUGACGGUACCGGAGGAAUAAGCCCCGGCUAACUUCGUGCCAGCAGCCGCGGUAAUACGAAGGGGGCUAGCGUUGCUCGGAAUCACUGGGCGUAAAGGGCGCGUAGGCGGCGUUUUAAGUCGGGGGUGAAAGCCUGUGGCUCAACCACAGAAUGGCCUUCGAUACUGGGACGCUUGAGUCUGGUAGAGGUUGGUGGAACUGCAGUGUAGA
rnacentral:rRNA from 1 species